rnacentral:rRNA from 1 species
GAUGAACGCUAGCGGCAGGCCUAAUACAUGCAAGUCGAACGGGAUCAGGGAGCUUGCUCCCUGUGAGAGUGGCGCACGGGUGCGUAACACGUAUGCAACCUACCUUCAACUGGGGGAUAGCCUUCCGAAAGGAAGAUUAAUACCGCAUAACAUAAUUAAAUGGCAUCAUUUGAUUAUCAAACGUCAGGGUUGAAGAUGGGCAUGCGUCCGAUUAGCUAGUUGGUGUGGUAACGGCACACCAAGGCGACGAUCGGUAGGGGAUCUGAGAGGAUGACCCCCCACACUGGUACUGAGACACGGACCAGACUCCUACGGGAGGCAGCAGUAAGGAAUAUUGGUCAAUGGACGCAAGUCUGAACCAGCCAUGCCGCGUGCAGGAAGACGGUCCUCUGGAUUGUAAACUGCUUUUGUUAGGGAAGAAACCCUCGGAUGCGUCCGGGGCUGACGGUACCUAAAGAAUAAGGAUCGGCUAACUCCGUGCCAGCCGCCGCCGUAAUAC